CCCCCCCCUCUCUCCUUCAAUCCCCCAUCUCUAAUACACAGCCAAUCCAUGGGCCGUACCCUAGUGGAAGAUCAGCGCCCCACUGCUGACUGUCUCCACAGCUAGCGCUGCUGGUCAGAGCUGCUUUUCUGGCCCCCCUUCCCCCAGAUUUGGCGGGGUUUGGCUGUAGCCAUGCAGCCAGGAAGAGGUGGGGUUUAGUUUUGGAUCAGCCGCCUGUUAGGCCACAAUUGAAAGGGGGUCAAAGGGGAAGUACAAUGGCUA